ensembl:lncRNA
GAGAACCCUGAGGCUUGAAUGUCUGUUUCAAAUGAGGUCAUUUCCUUUGUGCAGAACUUUGCAGCCCUCUGUGAACUGCCUUUCUCCUGGGAAGAAUCUUUGGGCCACUGCUCUGCAGUGGUAGCCUCUGCUUUUCGUGACUUGCUUCUCUUGGAACUGAAAGGAGAGGGAGCCCCAUCUUCUUGGCCAUACCCACCCCACAUGGAGUCUGUCAAGUGGAGCUGGGGGUUGGUUGGCGUGGAGGAUCCUAGUUCCCUGACCAAGGAUUGAACCCGUGCUCCUGCAGUGGAGGUGUGGAGUCCUAAUCAGUACUUCCAGGGGAGUCCUGUCUUUCACUUCUUUCCCUUGCAAAGGAAAACAUGCUUAGUGUUCAGAUUUUAAGUCUUAUACAAGUACAUCCAGUUAAAACACCCCCACUUCUAAUGAUAACCACAGUUAUCAGUUUACCGAGAGUUUUCUUCAGUCCUUUGGUGGUUUCCGACCUUAGAACUUGGGUGGUGGUGAGCUCCAUUCCUGCCAUGGGCAGGUAUUUAUUCCCUGGUGAUUUUCAAGGCUUCUCUUAAAAGCAGUCUUACCUACACUGACCGUGAAUGAUGUUAUGAACCACUUUAUUUUUUUUUCUCUGCUGUCAAUUCUCGUAACAUCUUUGGAGGGUAUCAAUCACUGAGACAGCCCUUUUGGGCUGUUGCUGAGGUCAUCAGGUGCUUCAUUUUCCAAGUAACUGUGGUUUCUUGUGUGUUUUCUCGAAAGCAAGUAUGGGCUCC